AUGUUGGUGUCAGUUGAUCCACUGUAGGAGUAAGAUGUACACUUAGAUAAAAUCUAUCGAUCCUAGAAGAAAGGAGUAGUCCUAUGAGAUUUAAGAAGUUGAGUUCUUAAGUUUAUAGCCAUAGCAAUGUGAUUGAUGGAAAAGAGUUUUUAUAAGAAUCACACAAUGGACUCGAGCUGAUUGAAUAUAUCAUAUGAUCAAUGAUGAGGUCUGAUGAUUCAUCCAUGAUCUAUCAUC
rnacentral:lncRNA from 1 species